CAGAAUCAAAACAUGAAUGCUUGAGAAGAGAAGUCGUUGAAGGCUAUGCCUCUCGGCUUCUCUAAAGAGAAUAAGAGUAUGUGAUGCACCAGUCUAGUGUAAACCACACGUAGAGUGUUUAAGGAAGUUUCUACGAAAACCACAGUCAGCAGGCCAAUUUUAAUCAAACUUGGUACAAAUGAUCCUUGAGUGAAGGACUGAAAAUAUAGAGUCUCACCAGAAAGCAGUAUCUCCGUUGAGAGAAUUAGGAACUGACGAGACAGAGUUGGCAGCUGUAAUCGGACUCCAUUUAUUUUCUCAGCUGAUACCAGGCAAAAAUCAUGAGAUUAACGAUAGAACUAAGAAUCUACCCAAUGAGUGCCCAUGUCAAUUGCGAGAUUGUAAACAGAAAAUCCAGACUGGAUGUACAACAUUCAGUAAGAUGAUGUGUGACUUUUAGCUGACCUGAAGCUAUCCUGAUUAGAAGAGGUCCCCAGUACCCCUUGUUUGCAUAAGAGGUAAUUAAAUGGGGUGGUCCUUUGGAUAAGAACGCAAAAACCAAGGCCCCGUAUCACAGCAGGUGUGACACAAUUAAGAUAUCUUCCUGCUCAAAGGCCAUAAGUGCCGAGUAUGGGCCUAAAUUUUGCAGCCCUUCACCAGCAUUGGUGACAUCUCCAUUUGAAUGAAAGAUUUUCAAAAGGGUCGUUAAAUGAUAUUCAACCAACCAACUUUCCUGAACAAA